rnacentral:misc_RNA from 1 species
AAGUCGUAACAAGGUUUCCGUAGGUGAACCUGCGGAAGGAUCAUUAACUCGUAUCCACGUUAAACCCCCUGUGAGCCUUCACCCGCUGCUCCCACAGAUAAGUCUCGGAUGCAGCCAACAGCAAUCCCUGCACUCCGUCGCUGAAAAAUUGGAAGGAGGAGGGACUUCUGGAGGUAGAGCUCUGUGGUGCCUUCCGAGGUUAAAGAUGCGCUAGACUGAUGUGGCUUGUUUUUCCCCAAGCAUCUAAUGAGUGAAAGUGUCAUUAGUUGUGUAAGGAUUUCGCUCGACGAUCACUGGAGGCCGCUCACCGGCCGGUGGAACAAGCAACCGAGCUUCGGUUCCCCUAUAACCCCAAUUCCUAUUGCCGCUCCGCGCUAACAACGCCGGGCACUUAAAAACGUAACUUAACAACUGUUAACAAUGGAUAUCUUGGUUCUC